AUGGAAAUGCAGAUCUGAAAUUAGAGAGAGAGAGAGAGAGAGGCUGAGAGUUUCCGACUCGCCACCGAGGCUCGUGAAAAUCGCAGAGGAUGACAAUGAGAAGUUCUUGUUGAAGCUCAAGAAACGCAUUGACAGAGUUGGGAUUGAUCUUCCCACCAUUGAAGUCCGGUUCGAGCAUUUGAAUGUCGAUGCAGAAGCUUAUGUUGGUGGUAGAGCACUUUCAACAAUUCUGAACUUUUCCAUUAAUCUUUUUGAGGGGUUCUUGAAUUACCUCCAUGUGAUUCCAAGUAGGAAGAAACCAUUAUCAAUCCUUCAUGAUGUUAGUGGAAUCAUCAAGCCUGGAAGGUGAGCCUUUCUCUCUCUCUCUCUCUAUAAUUUCAGAUCUGCAUU